rnacentral:rRNA from 1 species
CCUACGGGCGGCUGCAGUGGGGAAUAUUGGGCAAUGGACGCAAGUCUGACCCAGCAACGCCGCGUGAAGGAAGAAGGCUUUCGGGUUGUAAACUUCUUUUAAGGGGGAAGAGUAGAAGACGGUACCCCUUGAAUAAGCCACGGCUAACUACGUGCCAGCAGCCGCGGUAAUACGUAGGUGGCAAGCGUUGUCCGGAUUUACUGGGUGUAAAGGGCGUGCAGCCGGGAAGGCAAGUCAGAUGUGAAAUCUGGAGGCUCAACCUCCAAACUGCAUUUGAAACUGCUUUUCUUGAGUAUCGGAGAGGUAAUCGGAAUUCCUUGUGUAGCGGUGAAAUGCGUAGAUAUAAGGAAGAACACCAGUGGCGAAGGCGGAUUACUGGACGACAACUGACGGUGAGGCGCGAAAGCGUGGGGAGCAAACAGGCUUAGAUACCCCAGUAGUC